rnacentral:rRNA from 1 species
GCGAAACCCCUAUGAAGAAAUCCAAAAAGAUAACACGCUGAACUUAAGCU